ACAUGCAGAUGCAGCAGCAGAUGUUGCAGCAGAUGCAACAACAGCAGCAGAUGUUCCAGCAGAUGUUCAUGAACCAGACCGUGCUGACUUCACCACCGGGGAGUAGUGGUCCUAGCACGUCGUGUCCUCCUAUGUUCCCACAUUUUAUCCCCACGCCCGAUCCGGCUGUGAUGGCGCUCCUCCAGCAAGCGCCAAGUCGAGCCCGCCGACACCUGGCUUGACCGUCAACAAUACGGGCAUCAUCCGGAGCCUGCAGCAGUUUCUAGGAGGACAAGGAGGUGGAGAAGGACAAGGAGGUGGAGAAGGACAAGGAAGUGGAGAAGGACAAGGAAGUGGCGAAGGUUGAUGUUGCUUGUGUAUGAACUUGUUGUGCGACUUGCCGCAUUCUAUGUUGGAGACUUUGUUGUUGAUGUUGGACUACUUGUUGUAUGAACUAAUUAUGUGAUUUGGAACUAUUGUAUGGACUUUGUUGGACUACUCUUGUAUGAACUUUGUUGUUGAUGAUGCAAAUACUCUAUAUAUUGUGCUAUAUGUGUAUCUGGAUGAUUAUUGCUAUUUGUGAAUUGCAUAUGCAGGGAUUAAUGGGGAAGCAGGGAAAUUCUGGAAUUUUGGCAGCAUCUUUGCCGUGCAUAUGCACACGGCAAAGAAAAAAGCACACGGCAAAGGCCUUCUUUGCCGUGCACACA